GCACUUCUGAGGAGCCCUAUAGUAGGGCGAAACGGCCGUCCAGUGC
rnacentral:hammerhead_ribozyme from 1 species